rnacentral:ncRNA from 2 species
AAUCAAUUUAAUGAAAUCCCACAUAUAUGCUAGAGAAUAUGGCUCUAGUGUCUCUACCCGAUACCGUAAAUAUCGGACUAUGCGGGAAAGCGAACUUUAA